CGGCCUCGCUGUAACGCAGAAGCGAAAUGUAGCGAGCCGGGUGUCGCGGCUGGACGCUCGCCUUGGCUGGGGGUGUGGGGGGGCACGCCGGGGGCCAAGGAGGACUGUCGAGGAGGAGUGAUGAGAAGAGGGGGUGCCCUGCACCCCCCGAGACCACGGGCCACGCUGCCACUUGCCAGGCGCCCCCCUUCCUCCCAGGCGAGGGGCAGGUGUUCCACACUGAUUCUCGUGACUUUAAGGACCAGGGAUUUGAAGAGGUAUUAGCUCUUCCCAGGAAGGGAGGAAGUUUCUGGAAGAGAAGGGAAAGACGGCAGACGCUGCGCUGGGACCAGCAGAGCCUGAGGAGCUGUGGGAAGCUGACAGAGCCCAGCCAAAGGAGCGGGAAGGAGCCGCAGCCCCAGGCUGGCACUGUGUUCUGAAAGAUUUGAACUCAAGCUGCUUUUUACGGAAGAGGGGCCACUUCAGAGGGCACCCCAGAAUUUGGUUGAGCUCUUCUACUCUGGAUGCCCCCUGCUCUGAGGAGCCUGCCACUGAGAACCAAAGAAGAUAAGAGGACAGAUACUUUUUCUUCAAGCACAGAGCUGGUGGGUUGGAGUCAGGCAUCUGCACCCCUAGUGGCUGUCUGGUGAGGAAUUUCUUGUUUCUUCCCAGCUUGCGGCUUCAGUGCUUGAUGGGGCUGCCUGUUGGUGGAUCAGUUUUUGCAGUGCCUGGUAGGAGUGGAGAGCCGUGGGAAGAGGUCCUGCGGCGCCCAAGCCUGGGUUCACCCCAAGACUAAGUUCUUUCCCAAGUUAGAG
rnacentral:lncRNA from 1 species